UUCGGAAACAUCUCUGGGAGAAGAGUAUUACUGUCCUAUUCACAUGUGCGGAAGCCUUAUAAAGAUAUUUUCUUCCCAUAUCCUGCAAGAUCAUAGAGUUGGGAAAACCAAAGGUGCUUCACCACAGGAAGAUUACCAUCAAGUAGUGGAAGGUUUACCAAAGCAGUUCUCCUUCGAUGGCGAUCUCCUCACCAUAGGAAACACUUUUGUGGCCCUUCUCUUUUACACCAUCUUAGCGAAAGAACGCACCCUUAGAUCACAUCGAAUGCGGAAUCAUCCGCUGACCAUGCUAGCUGCUCCAAAAAUGGCGAAGGAUGAUACAUUAGCCGGCGUUUUCUUCUGGCUGGUCGGUUGUCCAUCGUGUGCCCAACUUCUUGCCAAGCUCACAGUCUACGAUCCAUUCGAUCAAAUUGGACGGAGUAUGAUCAUAAGACCACGUGAAUUAUCUCAGAACCAAGACCCUCGAGAAUUCGUCGCCAAUUCGAAAGAUCAUUUGCUUAUAAGCGUUCCACACAAGCAAAGAACUUUUCAAAUAACCGUGGUCAUAGAUGAACCUCAAACUUAGUUAUAAAGGAUAUCUAGUUACUUAAAACUAAAAUUUAUAGACGUUGUUAAUUUUCGUUUUUAAUCCCUUUGAUACCACGAGUUUAAUUUUAAAGACAAAUUGUAUGUUGUAUAUUUUUUAAUAAAACGUUCGAGCAAGAACUAAAAAACGCUCAAAUAUCUCUCACAUCAGAUCAGAAUUGCCUAGCUUUAUUUAUAUAAUAGUUAAUUGCGUGUUACACUACUAAUUUCAUUAAGUUGUUAGUUUUUCUUUAAUUACAUGUAGAGUAAAUAUUUUUGCACAUAGAAACGCAUGCGCUCACAUCUACGUACGUACUCGCUAUGAUUAUUAUCAUUUGCAAUCGUUUCUUGCACCUGCCUAGUGCGCUCUGCUGUAUACAUUUACAAACAUAGGAAUAGAAAUAAGUAAUAUAUAUGUAGUUUGUUUAACGGCUU